rnacentral:rRNA from 1 species
CCUACGGGAGGCAGCAGUAGGGAAUAUUGGGCAAUGGACGCAAGUCUGACCCAGCCACGCCGCGUGCAGGAAGAAGGCCCUCUGGGUUGUAAACUGCUUUUGACUGGGAAGAAAAGACCUCUUGCGAGAGGAGUUGACGGUACCAGUGGAAUAAGCCACGGCUAACUACGUGCCAGCAGCCGCGGUAAU